rnacentral:rRNA from 1 species
GUUAGGAAUAUUGGACAAUGGGCGCAAGCCUGAUCCAGCCAUGCCGCGUGAACGAUGAAGGCCUUCGGGUUGUAAAGUUCUUUAGCCGAUGAUUAUAAUGACUGUAGUCGGAAAAUAAGCCCCGGCUAACUUCGUGCCAGCAGCCGCGGUAAUACGAAGGGGGCGAGCGUUAUUCGGAAUCACUGGGCGUAAAGCGUGCGUAGGCGGUCUCGUAAGUUAGGAGUGAAAGCCCAGGGCUCAACCUUGGAAUUGCUCUUAAUACUGCAAGGCUAGAAUCUCGGAGAGGAUAGCGGAAUUUCCAGUGUAGCAGUGAAAUGCGUAGAUAUUGGAAGGAACACCAGUGGCGUAAGCGGCUAUCUGGACGAGUAUUGACGCUGAGGCACGAAAGCGUGGGGAUCAAACAGGAUUAGAAACCCCAGUAGUCC